UGGCUCAGUAACACGUGGAGAAUCUAACCUUCGGUGGAGGAUAAUCUCGGGAAACUGAGAAUAAUACUCCAUAAACAUAGGAUGCUGGAAUGCUUCUAUGUUGAAAGGCAACGCCAAAGGAUGACUCUGCGACCUAUCAGGCUGUAGUGAGUGUAAUGGACUCACUAACCUGCAACGGGUACGGGUGUUGGAAGACAUUGCCCGGAGAUGGACUCUGAGACAUGAGUCCAGGUUCUACGGAACGCAGCAGGCGCGAAAACUCCGCAAUGUACGAAAGUACGACGGGGGAAUUCUGAGUGCUUACGCCUUGCGUAGGCUGUUUUCUUGUCUAAAAAACAAGGAGAGUAAGGGCUGGGUAAGACGGGUGCCAUCUCGUGCAAUUCUGCACUUAUUGUGUUCGUUGCACGAAGCACAAGCCGCCGCGGUAAUACCCGCGGCCCGAGUGGUGCUCAUUAUUAUUGAGCCUAAAACGUCCGUAGCCGGUUUAAUAAAUUCUUGGGUAAAUCAUAUCGCUUAACGAUAUGAAUUCUGAGAACACUGCUAAACUCGGGAAUGGGAGAGGCCAGAGGUACUUUCAGGGUAGGGGUAAAAUCCCGUAAUCCUGAGAGGACCACCGGUGGCGAAGGCGUCUGGCUAGAACAUAUUCGACGGUAAGGGACGAAGCCCUGGGGCGCAAACGGGAUUAGAUACCCCGGUAGUCCAGGGUGUAAACGCUGUAGAUUUGGUGUUGGAAAUCCUACGGGGAUUCCCAGUGCCGGAGAGAAGUUGUUAAAUCUACUGCUUGGGGAGUACGGUCGCAAGACUGAAACUUAAAGGAAUCGGCGGGGGAGCACCGCAACGGGUGGAGCGUGCGGUUUAAUUGGAUUCAACGCCGAGAAACUCACCGGGGGCGACCAUUAUAUGAAGGCCAAGCCAAUGACUUUGCCUAAUUUUUGGAGAGGG
rnacentral:rRNA from 1 species